rnacentral:rRNA from 1 species
CCCUUAGAUGUUCUGGGCCGCACGCGCGCUACACUGAUGCAUUCAACGAGCACCCGCUGGGCCGAGAGGUCCGGCUAAUCUUUGAACGUGCAUCGUGCUGGGGAUAGAUGAUUGCAAUUAUUCAUCUUCAACGAGGAAUUCCUAGUAAACGCAAGUCAUCAGCUUGCAUUGAUUACGUCCCUGCCCUUUGUACACACCGCCCGUCGCACCUACCGAUUGAAUGGUCCGGUGAAGCCUCCGGAUUGGCGCGCACCUCGGUGCCGCCGAGAAGUUGGCUAAACCUUACCAUUUAGAGGAAGGUGAAGUCGUAACA